CUACGUGCCAGCAGCCGCGGUAAUACGUAGGGCGCGAGCGUUGUCCGGAAUUAUUGGGCGUAAAGAGCUUGUAGGCGGUUUGUCGCGUCUGCUGUGAAAGGCCGGAGCUUAACUCCGUGUAUUGCAGUGGGUACGGGUAGACUAGAGUGCAGUAGGGGAGACUGGAAUUCCUGGUGUAGCGGUGGAAUGCGCAGAUAUCAGGAGGAACACCGAUGGCGAAGGCAGGUCUCUGGGCUGUAACUGACGCUGAGAAGCGAAAGCAUGGGGAGCGAACAGGAUUAGAUACCCUGGUAGUCCAUGCCGUAAACGUUGGGCACUAGGUGUGGGGGACAUUCCACGUUUUCCGCGCCGUAGCUAACGCAUUAAGUGCCCCGCCUGGGGAGUACGGCCGCAAGGCUAAAACUCAAAGAAAUUGACGGGGGCCCGCACAAGCGGCGGAGCAUGCGGAUUAAUUCGAUGCAACGCGAAGAACCUUACCAAGGCUU
rnacentral:rRNA from 1 species